CAUUGAGAUACUGACAACCUUGGUUGUUGGCGAUGUAAGCAAGUAGGUCACAUCUAUAGAAGUAAAUGCCAGGCUGGAUUCACCCUCAGAACCUCCCACUAGCAGGAUACCGCCGCCACACUUACAACUGAUUAUAAUAUGGAGCCCUGCAGCAAAACCCCCUGGGGUGAGAACGUUCCCUGACGAUCGUUACAUUGUUAACAUCACGGAACUGUUCUAUACCAGUGCCAGUAAACAAACUAAACACCACCAGCGCCACGCUCAGGAAUAUUCCAGCUCUAUGACAGCGGUCUGGACCCGACAAUCCAG